GGUUCAGAACGUCGUGAGACAGUUCGGUCCCUAUCCGCUGCGCGCGGAGGAAUCUUGAGAAGGGCUGUCUUUAGUACGAGAGGACCGAGACGGACUGACCUCUGGUGUGCCAGUUGUUCUGCCAAGAGCAUGGCUGGUUGGCUACGUCGGGUUGUGAUAACCGCUGAAAGCAUCUAAGCGGGAAACUUGCCCCAAGAUGAGACUUCCCACGGAGAGAUCCGGUAAGGACCCUGCAAGACGAGCAGGUGAAUCGGCUGGAGGUGGAAGGGCAGCGAUGUCCGAAGCUGACCAGUGCGAAUGGUCCGAGGUCUUGACCUCAG
rnacentral:rRNA from 1 species